rfam:Bacillus akibai JCM 9157 DNA, contig:contig_17.
UUAAAAUUGAAUGUCAUACCGUAGACAGUAGGUGUGGUUAUCCACUUAAUUUCCUGCCGAGGUAAGCGAUAGAUACAGUGAUCUGUGUUUGUAUGCCCUCAUGUCUACAUGGGGGCUUUUUAUAUGCUUCU